GAGAAAGACAAACAAGUUUUAGGAUUACAGAAGUAUUCAACAACCAACCAUUGAAGGUGCAAGAACUGGGCCAUCCCAUGGGUCCACCAGGGCUUUGACAAGGCAGGUGCUGGGGCAGAGCACUCUGGCCAGGAAGCAAAAGAUGAAGGUUCCCAUCUUGGCCCCAGCCUGGAUCUGUGCCCAGUGAUAGUCAUCAGCCUGGAUCUGUGCCCAUUGCAUUGUGUGGACAUACCACGCCAUGUUUCUCCAUCACCUUUUGAGGAAACUUCUGUUGUUUCCACCUUCUAACCGUCAUCAGUAAAGCUGCUGUGAACCUUCGCAUCCAGGUCUCCUGGUGAAAUGAAUGCACACAUCUCUCUUGGGUAUUAUGUGAGUGUCCCGUAGCUGCUGUAAUAAACUAUCACAAAUGCAGUAGCUUAAAACAA
rnacentral:lncRNA from 1 species